rnacentral:rRNA from 1 species
AGAGAGAGACAUGCGUGCAUAUCAAUAAGCGGAGGAAAAGAAACUAACAAGGAUUCCCCUAGUAACGGCGAGUGAAGCGGGAAGAGCUCAAAUUUGAAAUCUUAAAGGGUUUCCCUUUACGAAUUGUAGUUUAAAGAAGUGUUUUCUGUUGAGGUUUUGGUAAAAGUUCUUUGGAAUAGGACAUCAUAGAGGGUGAGAAUCCCGUAUUUGACCUUUACUUUCAACUUUGUGAUACACUUUCAAAGAGUCGGAUUGUUUGGGAAUGCAGUCCAAAAUGGGUGGUAAAUUUCAUCUAAAGCUAAAUAUUGGCGAGAGACCGAUAGCGAACAAGUACCGUGAGGGAAAGAUGAAAAGAACUUUGAAAAGAGAGUUAAACAGUACGUGAAAUUGUCAAAAGGGAAGCGUUUGACACCAGUGUUGUUUUUCUGAAAAUCAAUUAAAGAACUGUUUAUGCUAAGCUGUUUAGACUUUAUCAGCUAAUCUGUUUAGUUUUGAGCUUUUCUUUAAUGCACUUUUCAGUUAACAAGUCAACAUCAAUUUCUUUUGCUGUAAAAAAGCUUGAGGAAGGUGGCUUGAGAUUCGUCUUAAGUGUUUAUAGCCUCUUGCCUAUGCAGUCGGAGAGAUUGAGGUCUGCAGCGUAGAUCCUUCGGGGCUAAAUGCAUUUGUGCUAAGUUAUAGCAUUUUAUAGACAACUUGUUGACUAUGAUUUGUCUUGUAGCUUACUCGCUUAUGUUAUUUUACCUACGCUUAGGAUGUUGAGCGCAUGUCUCUCUCU